rnacentral:rRNA from 1 species
UCCUACGGGAGGCAGCAGUGAGGAAUAUUGGUCAAUGGAGGCAACUCUGAACCAGCCAUGCCGCGUGAAGGAUGACGGCCCUAUGGGUUGUAAACUUCUUUUGAAUAGGAAGAAACUUAUCUACGUGUAGAUAACUGACGGUACUAUUAGAAUAAGGAUCGGCUAACUCCGUGCCAGCAGCCGCGGUAAUACGGAGGAUCCAAGCGUUAUCCGGAUUCAUUGGGUUUAAAGGGUCCGUAGGCGGAUCUUUAAGUCAGUGGUGAAAGCCGACAGCUUAACUGUCGAACUGCCAUUGAUACUGGAGAUCUUGAGUACAAAUGAAGUAGGCGGAAUGAGUCAUGUAGCGGUGAAAUGCAUAGAUAUGACUCAGAACACCGAUUGCGAAGGCAGCUUACUAACAUGUAACUGACGCUCAGGGACGAAAGCGUGGGGAGCGAACAGGAUUAGAUACCCUGGUAGUCCACGCCGUAAACGAUGAUCACUCGCUGUUGGCGAUACACAGUCAGCGGCCAAGCGAAAGCAUUAAGUGAUCCACCUGGGGAGUACGCCGGCAACGGUGAAACUCAAAGGAAUUGACGGA